CCUGCGCCUCCCUGGUGCGUGCAUUAGAAUAACCGCGGCUGGGGAAACCGCCGGGGCGCCGCAACCGCCGGGCUCUCCGCGGGCGCGGGGUUCCCGAGGCCGCGCUGCACGAAGGGCCUCCUUGGGCAGAGGAAGAAAACGCGGCAGGAAAAUCCACCCUGAAAUGAGCAGAGCGCGCCAGGUGCUGGUGAUGUCCAAGUCCACAUACAGAUUUUCAGAUCUAAUCCACCCUGUACUUUUGAACUAGACGUGUGUUAGUUUUCAAUGAUCCUGCAGAGAAAUUACAGAUGGACUUAGCAAAAUGUUCCCAGAAUACAAAUAGUGAAAUGGACUGGGUCAGGAACCCAAGUCACAAAGGGUCCCUGAGUCCUUGCUUCUACUGCAGAUGGCCAUCCUUGCAAGGGGCAGCCUAUCUCUCUUUUUUUGAAAGCUCCAUUAUGUGUGUUUACAAAAUAAACAAUGCAUUCAAGUUCA